rnacentral:rRNA from 1 species
GGAGGAAAAGAAACCAACAGGGAUUGCCCCAGUAACGGCGAGUGAAGCGGCAAGAGCUCAAAUUUGAAAGCUGGCCCCCUCGGGGUCCGCAUUGUAAUUUGCAGAGGAUGCUUCGGGAGUGGCCCCCAUCUAAGUGCUCUGGAACGGGCCGUCAUAGAGGGUGAGAAUCCCGUAUGGGAUGGGGUGUCCGCGACCAUGUGAAGCUCCUUCGACGAGUCGAGUUGUUUGGGAAUGCAGCUCUAAAUGGGUGGUAAAUUUCAUCUAAAGCUAAAUAUUGGCCGGAGACCGAUAGCGCACAAGUAGAGUGAUCGAAAGAUGAAAAGCACUUUGAAAAGAGAGUUAAAAAGCACGUGAAAUUGUUGAAAGGGAAGCGCUUGCGACCAGACUCGCCUACGGGGUUCAGCCGGUAUUCGUACCGGUGUACUUCCCCGUGGGCGGGCCAGCGUCGGUUUGGGCGGCCGGUCAAAGGCCUUCGGAAUGUAACGCCUCUCGGGGCGUCUUAUAGCCGAGGGUGCCAUGCGGCCAGCCCGGACCGAGGAACGCGCUUCGGCACGGACGCUGGCAUAAUGGUCGUAAGCGACCCGUCUU